rfam:Escherichia vulneris NBRC 102420 DNA, contig: EV10242008.
CUGGAGCCUGACGCAUGAUUCGCAACGUUCGUAUCGCCGGUCUACUACUACUAAACGCAUCCUCAUUGCGCGGUGGACUGGUGGGCGACAAACAGAGUUAAGUCAGCUUCCGGUUAAAACAGAGAACCCGCGCCAAUGCGCGGGUUUUUUU